ACUCCUUCUUUGGGUGGGGACUGGGUGUGUGGUCUGGCUCCCUAUUAUAUAGGGAGGCAGAGGGAAAGGGCUCUGGCUCCCUCAAUGCCGUGUCUUAAGUAUUGGCAGUUUCCUGUCCACUGGUUCCACACUCAAGCGCUGAGACACUG
rnacentral:snoRNA from 1 species